GCCCGGUUAGCUCAAUCGGUAGAGGUUAGUUAACCCUUACGCUGUGCUCUUGAACUUAUGAUACUAACCGUCCAAAUAGCGUGAGACUCUUAAUCUCAAGGUUGCGGGUUCGACCCCCGCAUCGGGCU